rnacentral:lncRNA from 1 species
CAGAAAGGACAAGACAAGUCCAAACUAUUGCCCUGCAAGAGGGAACGACCUCGAAUUCUUCUUUUUCAGGAUUUGCGUUCAUGACAAGCGCAUACCAUUAUGAAAAAGACCACUCGACAAUUAAAUUCCUAUUAGAUUCAGGAGCGUCUGAUCACAUCACAAAUAGAGAUGAUCUCUUCACAUCGUUUGAAUGUUUAAAUCCUCCUUUAAAAAUUUCAGUAGCUAAAAACAAUACAUUUAUUUCAGCAACUAAAAGGGGAAACAUAAAUCUUAUCAGUCAAACAGGAGUGCAAGGAAUACUUACAAAUGUAUUGUUCUGUGCCGAAGUACCAUAUAAUUUAAUAUCGGUAUCAAAGAUGCAGCAAGCAGGAUUCACCAUAAUAUUUGAUGACAAAGGCACACAAAUUACAAAGGAAGGUAAAAUCAUCAUGAAAGGUAACCAGUUGGCAGACUUGUUGACAAAACCUUUACCAGUCGUGUCUUUUAUAAGACUGAGAAAAGGAUUGGGUAUAGAAUAAGUUUUAAUUUAAGUACAAUUUCAUUAUGAAAUGGUCUGAUCAGGUUUUUCUGGGUUUUCCCUGAUCCUGUGCAGCAAAUGUUGGACCAUUAUUGUACAGUUGUCCCAGACCUUACUUGGAAGUAUAAUAUGUUACGUCGUAUUUAUAAGUUGGUAUUCACUUUGUAAUGUUGAAUUGUAGACUAGAUACUGUAUAGUAAACUAACGAAUGACUAAAAGUUAGGGAUUAAUUUUUGAGGGGGCGUGUUGGAUUAUAUAAAGCAAAAACUAAUACCCCUAACUUUCGAUAACAUUGUUCUUUGUUCUAUCUGAACAAUCUACUGUUUAUUUAACUCUACACACACUGCGUCACGGGAUCUUGUUAGACGGACGUAUUGCUUCCAAGUACCAUUUAAAGUAUAGAAUAAAUAUUUCAAUAUCAAAUUAGUAUAUUAUUUCUUUUAAUCCCAUACCUCCUAUAAAAACCUUUACCAGUCGUGUCUUUUAUAAGACUGAGAAAAGGAUUGGGUAUAGAAUAAGUUUUAAUUUAAGUACAAUUUCAUUAUGAAAUGGUCUGAUCAGGUUUUUCUGGGUUUUCCCUGAUCCUGUGCAGCAAAUGUUGGACCAUUAUUGUACAGUUGUCCCAGACCUUACUUGGAAGUAUAAUAUGUUACGUCGUAUUUAUAAGUUAGUAUUCACUUUGUAAUGUUGAAUUGUAGACUAGAUACUGUAUAGUAAACUAACGAAUGACUAAAAGUUAGGGAUUAAUUUUUGAGGGGGCGUGUUGGAUUAUAUAAAGCAAAAACUAAUACCCCUAACUUUCGAUAACAUUGUUCUUUGUUCUAUCUGAACAAUCUACUGUUUAUUUAACUCUAUACACACUGCGUCACGGGAUCUUGUUAGACGGACGUAUUGCUUCCAAGUACCAUUUAAAGUAUAGAAUAAAUAUUUCAAUAUCAAAUUA